rfam:Homo sapiens chromosome 19 genomic contig, GRCh38 reference assembly alternate locus group ALT_REF_LOCI_5.
GCUGGGUAUGGUGGCGCAUGCCUGUAAUCCCAGUUUCUCAGGAGGCUGAGGCAGGAGAAUCGCUUGAACCCAGGAGCUGGAGGUUGCAGUGAGCCGAGAUCACACCACUGCCCUCCAGCCUGGGUGACAGAGUAAGACUCUGUCUCAA